rnacentral:rRNA from 1 species
UACGGGGGGGGCAAGCGUUGUUCGGAAUUACUGGGCGUAAAGGGCUCGUAGGCGGCCAACUAAGUCAGACGUGAAAUCCCUCGGCUUAACCGGGGAACUGCGUCUGAUACUGGAUGGCUGGAGAUUGGGAGAGGGAUGCGGAAUUCCAGGUGUAGCGGUGAAAUGCGUAGAUAUCUGGAGGAACACCGGUGGCGAAGGCGGCAUCCUGGACCGGUAUUGACGCUGAGGCGCGAAAGCCAGGGGAGCAAACGGG